CACUACGGCCAUGCUACCCUGAACAAGCCCAAUCCCGUCUGAUCUCGGAAGCUAAGCAGGGCCUGUUUAGUACUUGGAUGGAAGACCACCUAGGAAGACCAGGUGCUGUAGGCA
rnacentral:rRNA from 1 species